rnacentral:lncRNA from 1 species
AAAGACAGAGUUGUCCCAAGGAGUUUUGUAUCCACCCCAAGGGAAGAUGUGGGUCUGUCAGUAGAGAUGACAUCCACCACUACCACCUUAAUCUUUACUGGACAUGCCCAUUUUCCUGGCCAAUGAGUGUUUUCCAAAGCAAUACAUAAAACGAAUUGAGGAAAAGGAGUCUUCACCGACUGAGCUGAACAGUCUACCUGUUUGCACUGACUGUGGCUGGUGGUGUCCACAGGUCAUCUGAUUUCCUCGCACUCCCCUCCCAUUUCCUGAAAGCCA